GGUCACCCAUCAUGGGGGGCUACAACUCAGGCGGGGCCAUUUCGGUGGUUCACGUCAAUAGCAAACGGAAGACAGAAA
rnacentral:ncRNA from 1 species